ACUUCUUUUGUUCUUCUGAUUUUCCAGGAAAUCUGGAUAUGAUGAAAAUACAACAUACGGCGUGAAAACCUCCGUUUCUACUUCUAUAUAUGUAACAGAUGUCGAAGAAACAACACCUUUCUCUUUGUUUGCCAUCUUAAUGAAAUUUUAUGUCAGAUAGAAGAACAAAAUUAUACAGGACAGCUCAUACUACUUGGAUACAAUCCCAAUCUCAUGGAUUCUGAGACUCGAGACUCAGUCUGAUACGAAAAAUGAAAAUCGAAUUUGUUUAGGUGAUCACCAUUUUCUGUAUUUCGAUCCCGAUGGAUAUUAUUUAUAAAUUAUUAUUAAAGCACAUUGUAGACA